CUUGGGGGUUCCCACAUCAGAGCUGUGAGCACCUCCAUGGGAACACGAAGUGAAGGAGGCAGGCGUUGUCAUUCCCACUUGUGAGGUGAUUGAGGAUGCUCUCGGGUGCUGGGAGCAGAAGCAAUGCGGCCUGAACCCAGGUAUGGAUUUCAUUUUGAAGAAAGGUCUCCUUGUAGGGCACUAUCCUGGACCCAGUGGGCCUGCCCUUCCUAUUUAUUUCUUAGUGAAACCAGAAAGUUUGCUGGGGCCAGUAUGAUGGAGCAUCGUGACUGACAAAUGGCUGGGAUUAGUCUAAUGGGUAGGCAGCUGUAUAUGGAGGAAGGCGAUGAGGGAUCAGACCAUUUCCCCAGAUUCCAGUGGAAACUUUGCAGGCAGUAGCUAAAUGAGUCAGAGAAGAUAAGAAGACUGGAGUACCUUGCAGAACACUUCCCAUACCCUCCCACCUCCAGCCCCAAGGAGGAUUAGGAUGCAGGGAGUCUGCAGAUGAAACAGUUGUUUACAAAGGCUGGAGAAGCAUGCCAGGAAACUAGUCCAGGGGCAGUUUCCAGGGCCUGAGAUUGAUACUACUCCAUCUUGAAAACUGAAAAAAAAAAAAAAAAAAAAAAAAAAAAAAGUGUGACUCUUUAGUUCUGUACUCCCUUUAGUUCUGGGAGUGCAUUUGGAGUUUCCUUUAAAUUCUAUGUGGAUACAGGAUGCUGAAGGAGGAGAAUCACUUGAACCCCAGAGUCAGAGGUUGCAGUGAGAUGAGAUGAUGCCACUGCUCUCCAGCCUGGGCGACAGAGUAAGACUGUUUCAAAAAUAAAACAAAAGGCCAGGCGUGGUGGCUCACGCCUAUAAUCCCAGCACUUUGUGACUCCAUCUCAAAAAAAAAAUAAUAAAUAAAUAAAAUAAAAUAAAUUGUAUGUGGAUAAAUUGAGGAGAGCUAAGGUGCAACACAUGAGAAAGAGACAAGGGGUGGGGGUGGGCACAGUGGCUCACGCCUGUAAUCCCACCACUUUGGGAGGCCAAGGCAGGUGGAUCACCUGCGGUCAGGAGUUCACCAGCCUGGCCAACAUGGUGAAACCUUGUCUCUACUAAAAAUACAAAAAUUAGCUAGGCAUGGUGGCACACGCCUGUAGUCCCAGCUACUCCGGAGGCGGAGGCAGGAUUGUUGCUUGAGCCCAUGAGGCAGAGGUUGUAGCGAGCCGAGAUCACGCCACUACACUCCAGCCUGGGCGACACAGUGAAACUCCAACUCAAAAAGAAAAAAAAAAGGGGGCGGGCGUGGGUGCUGGGAAGGCAAGAAGGAAAUAGCAGAGGAGAGACAAGGGAACUCCUGGCUUGGGAAGGCUCUUGCCUGUCCCACCUCAUGCAAGCAUAAGCACUCCUGCCAAGACGGGGGCCCUCCGGAGGAUGUCCAACUUAAAGCUCAGAUCCUGGGCAGCAGCAAUGGGGAGGGGAUUGGGGUAUCCCAGGGCAGAUGGCCUUAAGGGACCUAUUUGUAGAGGCAGAGGCCCAGAGGCUGUCAUAUGCAAGCUGCUUAGGGUCACAAGAGAAAUCCGGAGCUUCCCUGAUGACCAUCUUUCUUCUCCUCCUCUUUCUGACUCUCUUCUUCCUUCCACUCUCCCUAAACCUGCUGAAUCCCUUAGGCAGCUGGGAUCAACAUAAGCUAGAAACUGAUGCGUAUACAAGGGAAAUCGGGAAGCCUAGAAACAGCAGAACCUGGGAGGGGUACCUGUGUACAGGGCAAAUGAAGGGAGCCUGAAAACAGCUGAAUCUGGGGAGAUGGAACUGCCUAGUGAGAGAGCAAGGGGCUUCUGGAAACUGCUGAAUCCAGGGAGGCCAAUUUGUAUACCGGGGAAAUAUGGGGGAACCUAGAAACAGCAGGAUCUGGGGAGACAGUCGUGUACAGGGGGCAGACAGAGGGAGUAGCCUGAAAACAGUUGAAUCUGGGGAGGAAGAUUCGUGUGCAGAGGGAACAAGGGGAGACUGGAAACAGCACAAUCUGGGGAGAUAGGAUAGUGUACAGUAGAAGCUAGGGUGGCCUGGAAACUGGGGCUCUCAGGGGAUGAAUCUGCUUUAAAUUGCACGGGGGGGUGAGGGAGCCUGGGGAAUCUGAUGUGGCAGGCGCGAGCAGGGACACGGGCAAGCACAGGGGUGGAGUCAGGGUGCUGGUUGCAUGGAAGGGGAACGCAAUGGAACUCCCUGCCUUGUAGGUUUGAGUUAGACCCCUUGGCAGCCUCUUCUUGCAGACAGGGCAGGGUAAGGGAGUAGCUCUCCAAUGGGGAGCCAGGAUUUCACACGGCAAGAAGAGAAGGGCCUUUGUGUGCAGUUGCUGCCCUGGUCCUAAAAUGAGCAAAGCCUGGAAUUCCCUAGGGGAAACAGCCCAGGAGUUGGAGUGGGAGAGGAUGAGGAGGUUGAAGGAGCUUCGGUCCCCUUGCCUGCCUUCUUCCCAACCCCUCUCUGACAGGGAUAGGCCUCUUUCUCCCUUUCUACCGACCAGCCUGACCUCUCCCUUCAGCAGUUCCCUUCUGAGUGACAGACAGACAAAGACAGAGCUGUAGACCAUUGACUGAAGGAGGCCCCACAAAAGUUCUCUCCCAACCCACCAUCCCCCCAUACCCUCCCCAGAGGCCCUGAGCCAGCCAGGGCCAACAGGAGCUGUCACUCUAGUGGAGCUGCCUUCAGUCUGAGAAACCACUGCGUUUAGCACAAGAAGCAUGGCUUGGGCUGAUGCUCUGAUGGUUCCAGAAACCCUGCCCACCUCCAGGCUGUGCAGAUGAAAUCAUUCCCAGCACUUACAGAACGGGAAUGGAAGAGUCUUGUCCAGAUGGAAGGGGAACUAUGGUUGCCUGCCUUACCUCUCUUGGGGACCUCAGGUGACCUGCCUCAACAUACCAAGGGGGAGGAGGAGGAGUCUUCAGGGGACAGUGCUGGGAGCUGGACUCCCGGGGUUCAAUGUCACCAAAGAUGGCCUGGGGACACAGAACCUCUUGCGAACCGCACUGGGUCCAGUCCUCCCUAA
rnacentral:lncRNA from 1 species